rnacentral:rRNA from 1 species
UACGUAGGGGGCAAGCGUUGUUCGGAAUUACUGGGCGUAAAGGGCGCGUAGGCGGCCUGUUAAGUCGAACGUGAAAUCCCCGGGCUCAACCCGGGAACUGCGUCCGAUACUGGCAGGCUUGAAUCCGGGAGAGGGAUGUGGAAUUCCAGGUGUAGCGGUGAAAUGCGUAGAUAUCUGGAGGAACACCGGUGGCGAAGGCGGCAUCCUGGACCGGUAUUGACGCUGAGGCGCGAAAGCCAGGGGAGCAAACGGG